GCGAGCUAGCGAGUGAGCGAGAGAGUGAGUGAGUGAGAGAGUGAGAGAGAGAGGGCGAACGCGCUCUGCUCCCAAUAACGACUCUCGCCCUCGGUCAGUCGCGCGCGAACCGCGGAGCCGCGAGCAUCUCCUCGUCUCUCUCGCUCCGCAGGCGGAGAGAUUCCGGCGUUUCUCUCUCGGAAGAGAGAGAGAGAGGGAGAGGGAGCACACGCACGUGUGCAUGGUAAGUAAUCGAGUUCGAGGGUCCGAGUGUACACGGGUUUUUUGAAGAGGAUGAGAAGAGAGAGACAGAGGGAGGACGUACAAGAAGAAGAAGAAGAAGAAGAAGAGGAGGAGAAGAAAGAAGGGAGAAAAAAAUAGAUCGACGAGACAGAUCGAUCGUUAUGAUACUUGCGUGAAAAAAGAAAAGUGUUAUAGGUGAAUUUGAAAAAAGAGCGAGUUUGAAAUUGAGAGGAAAGAAGAAGAAAACGAAGAAGA